rnacentral:rRNA from 1 species
CGUGUAGGCGGUUUUGUAAGUCUGAUGUGAAAGCCCUGGGCUCAACCUGGGAAGUGCAUUGGAUACUGCAAGACUUGAGUACGGGAGAGGGCAGUGGAAUUCCUAGUGUAGGAGUGAAAUCCGUAGAUAUUAGGAGGAACACCGGUGGCGAAGGCGGCUGCCUGGACCGAUACUGACGCUGAGACGCGAAAGCGUGGGGAGCAAACA